AUCAACGCUGGCGGCAGUGCCUAACACAUGCAAGUCGUAACGAGAAAGUGGAGCAAUCCAUGAGUAAAGUGGCGUACCGGGUGAGUAACACGUGACUAACCUACCUCCGAGUGGGGAAAUAACCCCGGGAAAACCGGGGCUAAGACCGCAUAACAUCGCAGAGGAAUCAAAUGCAGCAAUGCCGCUGGGAGAGGGGGGGGUCGCGGCUUGAUUAGCUAGUUGGUCGGGGUAACUGGCCCUACCAAGGCGAUGAUCGGUAAUAGCCGGCCUGAGAGGGCGCACGGACACACUGGAACUGAAACACGGUCCAGACUCCUACGGGAGGCAGCAGUGGGGAAUUUUGCGCAAUGGGGGGAAACCCUGACGCAGCAACUGCCGCGUGGAGGAUGAAGCCCUUUGGGGCGUAAACUCCUUUCGAUCCAGGAACGAUAAUGACGGUACUGGUGAAGAAAGAAGCACCGGCUAACUCUGUGCCAGCAGCCGCGGUAAUACAGAGGGGGGCAAGCGUUGUUCGGAAUUAUUGGGCGUAAAAGGGGCGCGUAGGCGGUGCGGUAAGUCACCUGUGAAAUCUCCCUGGGCUUAACUGGGAGUCCUGCAAGGCGAAAACUAGCCGUGCUGGAGUGUGGGAGAGGUGCUGUGGAAUUCCCGGUGUGUAGCGGUGAAUGAAAUGCGUAGAUAUCGGGAGGAACACCUGUGGCGGAAGAAAGCGGCGCAACUGGACCAUAACUGACGCUGAGGCGCGAAAAGCUAGGGGGAGGCAAACAGGAUUAGAUACCCUGGUAGUCCUAGCCCUAAACGAUGAAUUGCUUGGUGUAGCAGGUACCCAAUCCUGUCUGUGCCGGCAGCUAACGCAUAAUAAGCAUUCCGCCUGGGGAGUACGGUCGCAAGGCUGAAACUCAAAGGAAUUGACGGGGGGCCCGCCACAAGCGGUGGAGCAUGUGGUUCAAUUCGACGCAACGCGAAAAGAAACCUUACCUGGGCUCGAAAUGCAGGAGACCGGGGUGGAAACAUCCCUUCCCCUUAAAAGGCUGCUGCAUAGGUGCUGCAUGGCUUGUCGUCAGCUCGUGUCGUGAGAUGUUGGGUUAAGUCCCGCAACGAGCGCAACCCUUAUCCCUAGUUGCCAUCGGGUCAAGCCGGGCACUCUAGUGAAACUGCCUCGGAUAACGAGGAGGAAGGUGGGGGAUGACGUCAAGUCCUCAUGGCCUUUAUGUCCAGGGCUACGCACGUGCUACAAUGGUCGGUACAAACCGUCGCAAACCCGUGAGGGGGAGCUAAUCGGAAAAAAAGCCGGCCUCAGUUCGGAUUGGAGUCUGCAACUCGACUCCAUGAAGCUGGAAUCGCUAGUAAUCGCGGAUCAGAACGCCGCGGUGAAUACGUUUCCCGGGCCUUGUACACACCGCCCGUCACAUCACGAAAGUGGGCCGUACUAGAAGCAGGUGUGCUAACCGCAAGGAGGCAGCCUUCCAAGGUUACAGCUCAUGAUUGGGGUG
rnacentral:rRNA from 1 species